rnacentral:rRNA from 1 species
GGAAGUAAAAGUCGUAACAAGGUUUCCGUAGGUGAACCUGCGGAAGGAUCAUUAUCGAGUUCUGACUGGGUUGUAGCUGGCCUUCCGAGGCAUGUGCACGCCCUGCUCAUCCACUCUACACCUGUGCACUUACUGUGGGUUUACGGGUCGUGAAACGGGCUUGUUUAUUCGGGCUUGUUGAGCGCACUUGUUUCCUGCGUUUAUCACAAACUCUAUAAAGUAUCAGAAUGUGUAUUGCGAUGUAACGCAUCUAUAUACAACUUUCAGCAACGGAUCUCUUGGCUCUCGCAUCGAUGAAGAACGCAGCGAAAUGCGAUAAGUAAUGUGAAUUGCAGAAUUCAGUGAAUCAUCGAAUCUUUGAACGCACCUUGCGCUCCUUGGUAUUCCGAGGAGCAUGCCUGUUUGAGUGUCAUGAAAUCUUCAAUCUACAAACUUCUUAUGGGGGUUGUAGGCUUGGACUUGGAGGCUUGUCGGUCCCUUUACAGGUCGGCUCCUCUUAAAUGCAUUAGCUUGGUUCCUUGCGGAUCGGCUUGUCGGUGUGAUAAUGUCUACGCCGCGACCGUGAAGCGUGUUUGGGCGAGCUUCUAACCGUCUCGUUACAGAGACAGCUUUUAUGACCUCUGACCUCAAAUCAGUAGACUCCCCCGU